GUUGCAAUGAUGGGGUCUAAGAUAACACUUCUGGAGGCUGCAGGCGAGAAACACAGCUGAUAUCAUCUUUUAUUGUGUGUUGUUAUUUGCCUAGCAUUAUAAAUUAAGGAGGAAUAGUAACAAAGAGCUUGAAGACAUGCACAGCUCACAGGCCCCGGGUGGAGGCUGGCGACAUCAGACAGACAGAACCAAGACAUCUGAGGGGCAACCAGGAGGUGCGUGUGGCUGCAGAGCACACAGUUCCUUGAAAUGUCUUGGAUGAAAAUUGGGUUCUGCACACUGGAUCUGGCUGGUUGAUUCUGCCUGCGAAGACUGAAGUUGGCUUUGAUGCCUAUAGAUGCACUCACCCUUCGCUCGGGUUCCAGAGGCCAUGUGGUGUAUGGGGAAGGCAAUGUAGAUGGUGGGAAAAUCACUUGACUUCUCUUGCUCAUCUGUCAAAUGAAACUGUUACCAUCCUUCCUUCGUGCAUCCAAAUAUAGAUGUAAGGAGCACAUGUGAUUAUACUGCACACACCAACAGUUCCUGACUAUCCAAGUGCUGUAUAAUUAUAAGGUUUUAUAGUCAUUAUUCUGCUGCAUGUUUCUUACUAGUGAUUUACCCGUAUUGCACAAUUAAAAUUAUUUGAAAAGCUGUCUUUCCCCAGCUGUUAAUAUAGUCCCUUACUUUUUUUCAUUUCCACCAAUCAACUGAUAAAUCAAAUAUUUAUAAAGAUGCUAAAUUUGUCAUAUACCUACUCACCAUCAAAAAGUUAGUAUCCUAUGUAAGUCACAUGAAUGGAUGCGCAAUGUGUACAUAGACUAUUUGUAUUUUUCUAAAAAUACUAAAUACAUAUAUACAUCCUUUUUUCGCCCAUGUGCCUAUUCCCCUUUUAAUAAAAAUAUAUGUAAAUAUGUAUUUGAGCAAGAAACAUAAUACCUACAUCCACACACACAGCAUCUUCGCUUAGAUAGCAGAUUUAAUGGGGGAGAGGAACAAACGCAUCACUCUAUCAGCAUUGCAGCUAUUUCAGAGUCCAGAAGUGACCACAAUGCACAAUUCAUGUGGUUAAAAAAAUGAUGGAUCAAUUUCUGCCCUGUUCCUAGUAAUGAAUAUCAAUAUCUUGCCUCUUCUAGACAGACUGUCAACAGCUUCAGAUGUUUUUAAAUGAGUUUUUAAAAAUAAAUUUGCGAAGUCAAUUAUUUUGAAUCUCAUCUGAAGCAAUUAAAAAACAUCCUGACAUUUAAGGUGAUAUUUUUUCCCAAGUAAAAUAAUUAUAAAUAAUACUAAUUAUGAGCAAAUCAUUCAGUUACUCUCAGUCUGGUUCAACCUUUAGGUUAAUAAACCAAUCCAUUAAAAUUCAUCUUGCUCAAAGGACCAAUUUGUUAAAAAAUGUAGCGACCUUUCACCACAAGUAUGAUUGAUAUUUUCUUUAACAAUAAUCAGAGCUGUCUUUCCCAGAACAGAGUAUGGUCAAGUGAUAGGUAUAGAAAACUAGGGUUCUUUUAUACCUCUCUUGGUAAUACUUCUCAGAUAGGUACAGAAUGAUAUUGAUGAUGAUGAAGAUGGUGGUGAUAAUGUACAAAAUUAAAACUCUAAUGUUAAAGAGAGUACCUUAAAAAGAUAUUUGAAAGCCUCAAGGCAACUGUUCACAAAACCCAACUAUAUUACUCUUCAUGCCACAAACAGAGUUUAGAUAUUCCCCUCUGCCUCUAGUGUUUCGUUCUCACCAAAGGAGUAGGGCAGAGAUUUGCAAAUGUGUCCCAUGGGCCAAAUCUGGUCCACUACCUGUUAUAAAUAAAGUUUUGUUGGAACAAAGCCCAUCCAUUCAUUUAGAUAUUGUCUUUGGCUGCUUUCCUAAUACAGAGGCAGAAUGGAGUUGUUACAACAGACACCACAUGGUCCACGAAUCUUAAAAUGUUAUUAUCAUUCUCUUACAAAAAGCGUCUGCCAACCCCUGUGUUAGGUAAUGAAAAAAAAAAAACAAUUCAUCUUUGAAUUUAUAACAGUAGCUAAUCUUUGAACAGCACUUUAGAGUUUACAAAGUCUGACCAUGUUAUGUUGUAAUAGGUAUUAUUAUCUUCACUUAACUGAUGAAGAAAUUGCCGACUUUUCUUCUUCUUUUAAAUUAUACUUUAAGUUCUAGGGUACAAGUGCACAACGUGCAGGUUUGUUACAUAUGUAUACAUGUGUCAUGUUGGUGUGCUGCACCCAUUAACUCGUCAUUCACAUUAGGUAUUCCUCCUAAUGCUAUCUGUCCCCACUGCCCCCACCCCAUGACAGGCCCCGGUGUGUGAUGUUCCCCACCCUGUGUCCAAGUGUUCUCAUUGUUCAAUUCCCACCUAUGAGUGAGAACAUGCGGUGUUUGGUUUUCUAUCCUUGUGAUAGUUUGCUCAGAAUGAUGGUUUCCAGCUUCAACCAUGUCACUACAAAGGACAUGAACUCAUCCUUUUUUGUGGCUGCAUAGUAGUCCAUGUUGUAUAUGUGCCACAUUUUCUUAAUCCAGUCUAUCAUUGUUGGACAUUGGGUUGGUUCCAAGUCUUUGCUAUUGUGAAUAGUGCCACAAUAAACAU
ensembl:lncRNA MIR100HG mir-100-let-7a-2-mir-125b-1 cluster host gene